UGACCCGGUGGUGCGCGACCCCAAAACCCAAAGAACCGGGGAAAGAACCGAACCCACCCCCACCGCCCCCGUCACUCACUCGGCGGAGUGAAUAUGCCAGACGAAACUGGCGUGGCGGGGCAUUUGUGGUGCAGCGUCAGCGAUGACAACCCGCCGACAUGCGUCGGCCCUCGCCGGGACUGGCAUCCCGAUGCGAGGGCCUGAUCACCAAGGAAUCGACCCUUCCCCG
rnacentral:ncRNA from 1 species